AAAUUAGGUAGAGGCUGAGAACCCGUCCUGAAGAUACGGGCACCUGGGACGGAGGGAGCUAUUGGUGCGACCGGCUACGGAGAUC
rnacentral:ncRNA from 1 species